UGCCAGCAGCCGCGGUAAUACGGAGGGUGCGAGCGUUAAUCGGAAUUACUGGGCGUAAAGCGCACGCAGGCGGUUUGUUAAGCUAGAUGUGAAAGCCCCGGGCUCAACCUGGGAUGGUCAUUUAGAACUGGCAGACUAGAGUCUUGGAGAGGGGAGUGGAAUUCCAGGUGUAGCGGUGAAAUGCGUAGAUAUUGGAAGGAACACCGAUGGCGAAGGCACUUUACUGGGCUAUUACUAACACUCAGAGACGAAAGCUAGGGUAGCAAAUGGGAUUAGAUA
rnacentral:rRNA from 1 species